CAUGAAUCAUGUCAACCAUACUUCAGCAACACAAGGAAAAAACACAAAGUGCUUUUUUUUUGUUCUGCUCCAGAACAAAAUUCAACCCUUGAACAUCGAUGUCUACUUCCAUUUAGGAUUAUAUUUGUUUCCAGUGAAAGGAAAACCUGGAUACAGAUCUACUCAAGUCUGGAACCACAUCUGAUUUAUGGAGCACAGUAUUGCGUCUCAUACCACCUACUACAGCAACAAGCCUUGUACAUCAUUACUAGUGAAAUACAAUUCCUUUCAACUAAAAAGUGUCUUCAGGGUAGCACAUGUUGACCAUUCUUAUUGUUUAUUCAAUUUGUCCCUUCUUAUAUUCUCACCUCUACUACCUGCAUUUUCUUUCUAUCCCAGAUCUGAAUCUCUUUUUCUGUAUGUCAGCAAAAGCAAUGGUGCCUGUCUCACUCCAGCCUAAUUAUGGCCUUGAUUGUCAGUUAUAAUCUCAACUCCAAUCAAAUUGUAUUCUCCAAGAGAAAACAAGCCCUGAUUUUCUAUAAUGCAGCUAUUGAUACGUGCAGGCUACCUCAUCCUGUGGACUUGUGAAGUCCUGUCAUGCCAGUAACUUCCUGCAUUUAAGGGGUACUCUGAAAGUAAUCAGCAGCAGAUGUUGGUAGUAUGGCAGUAGAGACUGAACCUUCUUGUAAAUAUUCCAUUUCAUUUUGUUUCUAUGUGACAGAUGGCAGCAGAGGGGCAGUCCAAUAAAAUGAUGUCUGACAGGGAACUGUAUGAAGCAAAGGUGUGGAACUGAAUUCCUCCAUUUGGAAAAAAUGACACCCACUGGCAUUCAUCAGUGCUUACUGAACAUUUAUGGAGACCAAACAGUAAAUAUGAUCACAGUGAGGCAACGGGUGGUGAUCUUCAGCAGCUGCAAGAAUGACAUUGGAUCACCUCUGUUGGUGCAGAUUUUUCUGAGCGUGGCACACAGGCUCUUGUUCAAUGAUGGCAGAAGUAGUGCUUUGUAGCUGAGUAUUUGCUCUAUUGAAUAGUUAUAUUGUGCUUUAUAUAUGUUGUAGUUUCCAGUUUCCAUGGAAAUAAAUAGAAGGCAUGACUUUUGGA
ensembl:lncRNA